rnacentral:rRNA from 1 species
GGGGUGCUCGAGUGGCGAACGGGUGAGUAACACGUGAGUAACCUGCCCUUGACUUUGGGAUAACUUCAGGAAACUGGGGCUAAUACCGGAUAGGAGCUCCUGCUGCAUGGUGGGGGUUGGAAAGUUUCGGCGGUUGGGGAUGGACUCGCGGCUUAUCAGCUUGUUGGUGGGGUAAUGGCCUACCAAGGCGGCGACGGGUAGCCGGCCUGAGAGGGUGUACGGCCACAUUGGGACUGAGAUACGGCCCAG